UGAGAUUUGGGUUUAUUUCUGCGAGGAUUACCAAAAGGUGAUGCUUUCUGUAAGUCCUGAGCCAACCCAGAGAUGAUCUGAAUGGAAAACACAUCGUAAUGGCAGCAGAGCCUGCAGUCACCCCACAGCAGUGGGACAGCCCAGUCACAUCCCUAUGUUGUGCCUUAAGCUAUGUGCAAAGAGGGACCAAACUGAGGAAUAUCGAAGGGUUUGGAGGAAACACAGAGAGAUGUCACACCUCGGAAGCUGGUUGCCAUGGAGACGGGCUCAUUUAACCCUAUCAGGGUCAAGCAGCCCUUCUUAUUCGAGCUAAUUGAAUUAAAGAGAUGGGAAGGAAAUGCAAAAUCUAUUGGCACUGAUUCACACCAGGAUGCCGUUGCUCAGGCUGGAUGGGGUUCUUGAGGACGGGCUUUGGUUCGGUAUCCACGCAUCAUCUAUAGGGUCAUUUGUAGUCAAAGGACUCCACUGAUGGGAUGGAUUGGAGAAGAAAGACCGAAGGCAGAAGACAUGGUGGGCGAGGUGGCACUUCAGUGCUGUAUCUCUCCUGGGAUAAGAAGCUCCCAGCUGUGCUCAGUGCUCCUCCUGAGCUGUGGGUACCGCGCCUUUAUCUCCCUUCUGGAUUUGAAAUGUGGAUAAAGCAAAGCUGGCAAGAUGAUCAAUGAAGACUGAUGGAAAUUCCCAUUCAUCAGCCUCAAGGUGUUGUGCUGAGCACUGGCAGCUCAGGACCUGUUUUUGGGGGCAGCAGAAUCCACAUCAUCAGCACCGGUUGCACCGCGGCGAGAUGUCGAUGUCGUGCAGCAUCACAGAGGUGACAACGCGACAGCAGCACUGGGAUUUCUGUGUGAGGAAUUGUGGUGAUUGUUCAUUUCUGCGCCGCGCUGAACAUGUCCUCAGAGGUUGAGAUGAUAAGUCUAAACCCAUUUAUAUUGUCUAAACUACUUUUUUUUGGGGCUGGGGAAUUGGGUAUUCUCUUUUUUUUUUCCAACCACGGAGUUUCAAUCAUCUCAAAUUGCUAAACAGGCUCUUUUUUUUUUUUUUUUUAAUUAAUUUUGAUUUUAUUUAAUGAAGUGCCCAGGAAGGGAGAGUUCGAAGAUCAUCUGGAACACAAAGGGUUCACACUGUGUAGGCAAAAAGGCUCAUGGUGGCCUACAGCUCCACCAUGGCGGUCUAUGGCCAACUCAUGGUGGCCCCAUGGCCAACUCAUGGCCUACAGCCAACUCAUGGCACAGAGAUGCGUCAGGGGAGGGUCAGGUGGGUAUUAAGAAAAGGUUCUGCAACAGAGGAUGGUGGGCACGGAACGGCUCCCCAGGGCAGCAGGCAUAGCCCAGAGCUGCUGGAGUGCCGGGACACCGCUCUAAGACCUUGGGUUUGUAUUUUGGGUGCUGGGUGGGGACAGGGGAUGGACUUGAUUCCAUCCAACUCGGGAUGUUCCAUGGUUCUAUGAAUCUUGCUUACAUGCCCCAGGGCAUUUCAUAGAGCUCACAGCAGCACAUGACCAUGAUGCAGAUGCUGCCCAAGUGGGGAUAACGGAUCCCACUGUGCUCACCGAGCUCAGAGAGCUGCUCUCCUCAGAAUAAACCUCUCGUGGAGGAGAACCAGGAACACGAACACUUCAGGAACCACUUCGGUUGCUAAGGGACAUUCAUGCAGGAAAACCUGCUGCAGGAGGGAAGCGCUGGGCUCUCUGCCCCCAUCUCCCCCAUGCAGCUCACCCUUGUGUCACCCAUGGGGCAGGAUUUACCCUGCCUUUCUGCCCACAAAGGCUGCCCCAAGCAAUAGGGCAGCAUCCAAGGGCGCAGUUCAGCCUGCACCAUGCGUGGUGCAGCCUGCAGAGUCCCUCACAACUCAUUUUCAAUUAAAAAUGCUUCGUGCCUGCUGGACUGGGCAACACUUCAACCCCACAGUGCCCACGAGGUGACUCCUGCUUUGAGACCCACAGCAAAUUGGGGUGUUGGAAUGGUGACUCCAAAAGGGACUUCUCUGUUGGUUAUCCCAUAUUCAAGGACCGAAGGGCACCCAUGGGCGCCCAACUCUGCCACAUCACUGGGGAAUAGACCCAGUGAAGAGAGCCUGGAUGGAGUCACAGGGAUUCCUCCACCCCUCCACACGUCCCAUGGGGGUUUCCCAGCAAACGCCUCCUCCUGCCGCAUCCGCUGAUGGGAAUCUGCAGCGGUGUGAAGUGGGGCGAGGGCUGAUGGCAGUGCGGAUCUGAACCUCGCACCUUCUGUCCAUCUGACGCCUGGCCCCGUGCCGCCAUCCAGAAGGAAAACUGCUGGAACUGCCCAGGGCUGAGAGCAGAGAGGGGUCCCCGUGUCACCGCGGCGGCCGCGAAUCGGUGCCAUCUGCUGCAACGCGGCCGCGGGGCCACGAGCUCCGUCAGCUGAGAUUUUGAGCACAUACUGCCAAAUUAGUUACAGCAAUGUAAUCACAUCCAUCCACCAGAGAGACCACGAGCAGCUGACAGCGCGAAGCAGAGGUGUGCAGGAAUGCAGAUGGACUGGGACGCGGCCCCGACGCCGCUCAGCAUUAAUUGUUGGGAGAAGUCCCCGUUGGAGGCUCUCAUUGGGUUGGAGAAGUUCAUCUUCAGCCAUUGCCACUCAAGGAGGAGAGAGCGUUCCAUUAUCCCCGUUAUCAGGAAGCAUCUUCCUGCUGCUUUUUAAAUGCAGAGCAGCAGUACCUCUCACAAUGCCUGGCUUGCUCCGCCGGGAUCACCAAAUUGACUGCUUCCGUGUAGGAGUGAGGCUGUGCCACAGCUCGUGUGCCUAUUAUUCCUAGUAGAAAUAAAUAAUAAUAAAGCAGUGAUCUCUUUCCUUUCCUCCAGACAGAUGCUGCUCCGCAGAGCUGUCAGCUUGUCACUCAGCAGUGGUUUCCAAAGGCAACCAAGUCAAAGUGGUCCCAGGCAGCGCCUGAUGGGUUUUUGAUACCAGGCUGAGCUCCCAGGCCAGAGGCAGAGAUGCUCCUUGUGGAAACGUCCAUUUUUCAUAGUAUCAUAGAACCACUGAGGUUGGAAAUGACCUCUGAGGUCACCAAGACCAAGCCCAACCCUCUCCACUAUGCCCACUCAUAGAAUCCUUGAAUUAUUAAGGAGAAGACCCACCAAGUCCAACCAUCAUCUCAUCCUCCUAUUCGCACUCAUAGAGCCAUUAAGGCCAGAAAAGAAUUCCAAGAUCCCCAACCCCAACCCAUCCCCACCAUGGCCACUAACCAUGUCCCUCUGAAAAACCCUUUGGCUUAAUUUAUGAGAUACCAGCAACAAGUCAUGCUGGAAAGAAGUCUGCGCACAGACCAUCCGCUGUCCUUGUUCCUGUGUGACCAUCAUGGAGCCCUCCAUGCUCUUCCUCCCACUGUGUCACAAGAACAGGAGCGUGGGGAGGGGUACGCAGUGCCCCGUGCUUGUGGGUGUGUCGGUGUAAUGCACUGCAGCUUCUAAGGAGCAGCCAAUCUCAAUAAAAGAAAAGAGUCCAAAUGCUCCCCUGGUGUCUGUUUGCAGUGCUCUUAUGGGGCCCGAGGGAAAGCAGGGAGGGAGCAGAAGAGCGCUGUCUGCAUCCUAUGGCCAGGAGCUAUUAGGGGAUGAGGCAACACUUAUCACAUUAGAGAACAACAGCACAGAGCAUGGGGCACACUGUGCUCCCAG
rnacentral:lncRNA from 1 species